GGUGAGUAAUUAAUGACAGAUUUAUCUUUUUUGGGUGAACUAACCCUUUAAGAUAAUAUACAGGUAAGAUUAUAAACUUAUUUCAACUCAAAUCAAUAUGUCCACUUAUUUAUUUAGUGAGUAGCCAUUUAAUAAGCGGGAUAAUGAACAGUCAGUCAGUCAUUAUCACAAACACCUUUAAGGUGAUAUUUUGCAACAUAAUGACCAAUUUACUAUACGUUAUCUCUUGUGUUAAGUCGUGAUUCUCUGUUUUAUGUGGCUAUUUAAAAAAAAAUCCUUUUACUGAGGCCAAACAAAAUAAAUUGUAACAUUAAUCUCCAAAAAAACACCCAAGUAGGUUCCAAAAAUGUUAAAAAGUGGUUUUAAUGGUUUCUACACCCGUUUCCUAUUAAAACUAAUUGCGGAUGUUGUUGCGUUGCAUCGUAUAUGUUCCAAGCACGAACAUUUGAGCAGUUCACACAGGAGCUAAUUAUGUAUAAUGGUCCCUCACCUUCUCUCUUCAUCAUAAUCUGUCCAUUUUUCUACUGUUUCUCGGAAUAAGUGUCGAAAUGCCCCAAAAUAGCAUAUAAAACAUAUACACAUGCAUCUCGGAUGAGUCAUUUGUUAGUCGUGGGCACCAUGAACACUCAUAAUCCCCUCUCCAGCUCAAACUUUUCACCCACCAGCCAGCUCUGAUCCACAGUAAGUAUUAUCACAGUCGACCCCAGCUGCAGCCGAUAUUGUACAGACAAAUAUCUCAAUCUGUACUAUAACUAUAUCAUGAGCACAAUGAAAAAUCAAGCCAAUAAAUGCUGGCAGCUGAAGUCUGACAUGAGAUUUGUACUAUCCCAGAGGGGAAUCCAGUGGUCUGGGUUAUAGAUGAAUGCUGUGCUUAUUUACAGAACAAUUUCAGAGUGCACUGGCCCUCUUUAUAACCUCUAGUGAAGUGUGUGUGUGAGUGUUUGUGUGUGUGUCCACUCUUAAUGAGACUCUAUGGCCCAAGGACUGUCAUUACCACAUGCUAAAGUGUGACGUAUACCACUAGCCACAGGCCAUCAAUACACACACCGUCACACACAGAUAAUAGACAGCCAUUUUGUUCCCCAAAUAAUUCCAAUGCUGUUCACUACAGGCACAUUUAAGGUCUAGAGAUCAUUGCGGCAGAGGCAGAGCGUAGCUGAAUGACUGACUGGCAGCCGUCAUUAUCAGACAUGUUCAGUUCGUCACGCGAGUCCAGACUGCUGAGGAGGUGAGAAGGGCCCAUGUUCAGUGAGCGUGUAAUGAAGCCGGGUUUGGAUCAGGGUCACUGACUUGAGUGCCAUUUAUUUCUGCGAGGAGGCUAGUCUGCUGUGUGCUGCAAAUUACUGUGGAGGGGCUUGGUGAAACCUGGAUUACUUGGUGCGGAGUGAGCAGAUGGUAAUAUACUUAUGCUUUUUGCAGCAGGCUGUGGUAACCAUUUAAUUUAAUUGUAUGGAAGACAGCACUAAACAUCCUUCCUAAAAUCUGAAGAAAGUCAUGAGUUUGGAAGCACAUAAGGACCCUCUGUGGGGAAGACUGUCCCUGUGUUCCGGCCUUCAGGACAGAAGCAGUCAUCCAUAAACCACAUCGUCUAGAUCUUUAUUUAUUUUGCCACCAAUCGACUCGGAGCAGCCUGCCGGACAGCUGCAGCAAGUGAAGUCACUUUACGCUCAUUAGCAUGAACAAGAGAUGAGACCCUACACACACACACGCACACACACACACACACACUGAUUCCCUCCCUCUGCCCAUCUUGGUAUGAGUGUGUCGUGCUUGUGUAUACAGAAAUGAGGAGCUCCAGAAACCUCUGUGGAUUUCAAUUGUGGGUUGAUAUGUUUUUGGUCUCAUAUAUACUGUAUUUUAAUGUGGUUUAAUGGUCUGACUGCUCAGGAGGGAGCAAGCAACAUGAACACACACUUAAACUAGUAAAUUUGAGCAAUUUGAACAUUAGGAAAAAGAGAGGAGAUGAGAAGAGAAGUGAACAGAUGGUACGUGUUGAGACAACUCAUAUAAACUGCUUUUUAUCAUUACAAAACUAACUUUUCAUAAAGUUAUAAAAGUACCAUAAAAUGUACCUCAUAAGUAAGAUACCAUGGUAUUGCCAUAAUACUUUGAUGUAUACCAAGGUAAUGAAUGACUACCAUAAUCAUUUACCAUGGUAUAUUGCAAAUACUUCAAAGAAUACCAUAUAUGCCUAAAAAAAGUCUGAAAAACAUGAUAGUACAAUUGUAGUAUUAUGUAUUUUUUUAUAGUCUCUUGCUAAGCAUAAAUGGAAGAAAAAAAAAAGUUGUCGCUCUGCGUGUUAACAAGAAUAUAGAGAUGUAUGUACUUGAGACACCUUGCAGGUUCAUCCUGAGCAGAACAUGAGCAGAAAAUAGGAUUAUCCCUCCUUUUCAUGACAACGCUAUUUUAAAUAUAAAAGUUUAUCCUCACAGUGAGUGAAGGAAAUAAAUAAAUAAAUAAACCUAAAGGACCGUUGAGGUGAACACGGGUAUGAAAGCAAUAAAAAGAGAGAGGAGGGAGAGAUGAUUAGAGGAUAAAAGGGAAUUGUGGGGCGGAAAAGAGAGAUACGAAAGGCUUGUGGAGUGAAGGGGAGAGAUGCAGGGCUGCGUGUUAGUUCCUCUUCAUUUGCUCUCUGUAUGUGGCGUAGAGGUCAGGCUGAGAGCUGGGACUCGGGCCAUGAAGGAGAGAGCAAAGACAGCCUUAGGCAGGAAUACACACACACACACACACACACACACACACACACACACACCAAUGUUCUGUCCAGAUAUUCCUAUCGUAUAAACAUACACUCUUCACUAACACCAAAUGAUCUCUUUCUCUGUCUUAAGACUCAUUUACAUUUAUGUGAUUGGCAGAAAAUGCACAGCCUAAAUUGAUUUUUAUAAUAAAUGGGUCAAUAACAUUAGUGUGUACUGUCGACAAUAACGAAAAGAAAAACCUUUAAAAAUGUAGUUUAAAACAGGUGCCAGUAAGUUCAUAGAUAUUUUCAUAUGGUUUUGAAGAAUAUUUAAAUAUAUUUUCCUUGAAUACAUGUGACACUUGUAUACAAAUAUGAAUCAUUCUUAUUAUCAAAAAACGUUUAUGGUCUCAUCUCAUUUGUGUGAAAUGCUGCACAAACAGAACAUAACACAGUUUUCGCAAAUGGACUGUUCUGUUUUAUUGAAUUGUUAUAUUUAAAUAAACCAUACAUUUAAAAAAUAUAUUUGUAGACAUCAUUUUCUAUCGCGCUAAACCACGCCCUUGGCUAUGGAGCUUACUUUUGGAGUUUAACAAUGCGGGAGAAAAAAAAAUCAUAAAUACAAGAAGUAGUAUACAAAUAACAAUACGUGUGUGUGUGUGUGUGACUGAAAAGCUGGACAACUGAGUCGCACACUGUGUUUGUCAGUUGCCAGAAAUCACUGAAUAUUUUGUGGCCCAAAUAAACUUAAUUGACAAAAAAAUGUUUUAUUUUAAUAUACACAGCAAAAUCCCCAGA